UACGAAGGGGGCUAGCGUUGCUCGGAAUCACUGGGCGUAAAGCGCACGUAGGCGGAUUGUUAAGUCAGGGGUGAAAUCCUGGAGCUCAACUCCAGAACUGCCUUUGAUACUGGCGAUCUUGAGUCCGGGAGAGGUGAGUGGAACUGCGAGUGUAGAGGUGAAAUUCGUAGAUAUUCGCAAGACACCAGUGGCGAAGGCGGACUCACUGGCCCGGUACUGGACGC
rnacentral:rRNA from 1 species